rfam:Gossypium hirsutum cultivar TM-1 chromosome 19, whole genome shotgun sequence
CACGUCAACACGAGUUGUUGACGUGGCAGCAAAUCGAAUUCUAGAGGGCGCGAUUUGUUGCCAUGUCAGCAUCUUGCGCUGACGUGG